rnacentral:rRNA from 1 species
AUGUACAUUCCUACAACAUAAUGUUAAUGCACUGGAUCCCAUUAGAACUCCGCAGUUAAGCACACUCAGGAUAGAGUAGUAUUGAGGCCGGAAGUAUUAUUGGGAUGGGUGACCUCCCAAGAAGUCCUAGUGUUUUACAUG